rnacentral:rRNA from 2 species
GGGAGCCGCCUAAGGCGGGACAGAUGACUGGGGUGAAGUCGUAACAAGGUAGCCGUAGGAGAACCUGCGGCUGGAUCACCUCCUUUCUAAGGAAUAA